rnacentral:lncRNA from 1 species
UCGUUUAUUGGUUAUCACAGGUUGGUUUAAGUGGAAUUGCUCUUAAAAUGAAGGAUUACCUGAUGAGCAGGUUUUGAUGAUUAGUGUAAUGGAGUCAAGUCAGGUUGUUUUAGUGAAAUGGUGAAGUGGAGUGUUAAUGGCUGUAGCAGGUAAUCCUAGGAUUAAACUAAAUGAAAUCACUGCAUCCUCUUGAACUGGUUAUGUUAAUUUAAUGCAUUGCAAUCUCUUCUUGUACACUCUCUCUUUUGAACAAUUCUCAU